AGGGUUUGAUUCUGGCUCAGGACGAACGCUGGCGGCGCGCCUAACACAUGCAAGUCGAACGGAGUUAAUCCGAAUGAAGUUUUCGGAUGGAUUUUGGACUAACUUAGUGGCGAACGGGUGAGUAACGCGUGAGUAACCUGCCCUGGAGUGGGGGACAACAGUUGGAAACGACUGCUAAUACCGCAUAAGCCCACGGUGCCGCAUGGCACAGCGGGAAAAGGAUUUAUUCGCUUCAGGAUGGACUCGCGUCCAAUUAGCUAGUUGGUGAGGUAACGGCCCACCAAGGCGACGAUUGGUAGCCGGACUGAGAGGUUGAACGGCCACAUUGGGACUGAGACACGGCCCAG
rnacentral:rRNA from 1 species